CGGACGGGUGAGUAAUGUAUAGUUAAUCUGCCCUUUAGAGGGGGAUAACAGUUGGAAACGACUGCUAAUACCCCAUACUCCUUCUAUGUUAAUCAUAGUUGGGAAACGUUUUUUCGCUAAAGGAUGAGACUAUAUGGUAUCAGGUAGUUGGUGGGGUAAGAGCCCACCAAGCCAAUGACGCCUAGCUGGUCUGAGAGGAUGAUCAGCCACACUGGAACUGAGACACGGUCCAG
rnacentral:rRNA from 1 species